rnacentral:rRNA from 1 species
GAGUUUGAUCGUGGCUCAGGACGAACGCUGGCGGCGUGCUUAACACAUGCAAGUCGAGCGAGGCCCUUCUCUUCGGAGAGGGUGCCCUAGCGGCGAACGGGGUGAGUAACACGUGGGCAAUCUGCCCCUAGCACUGGGAUAACUCCGGGAAACCGGGGCUAAUACCGGAUACGACCUUCGAAGGCAUCUUCGUUGGUGGAAAGGAUUCUGGCUAGGGAUGAGCCCGCGGCCUAUCAGCUUGUUGGUGGGGUAACGGCCCACCAAGGCGACGACGGGUAGCCCGCCUGAGAGGGCGACCGGCCACACUGGGACUGAGACACGGCCCAGACUCCUACGGGAGGCAGCAGUGGGGAAUAUUGCACAAUGGGGCGCAAGCCUGAUGCAGCGACGCCGCGUGAGGGAUGACUGCCUUCGGGUUGUAAACCUCUUUCAGCAGGGACGAAGCGAAAGUGAUGGUACCUGCAGAAGAAGCACCGGCCAACUACGUGCCAGCCGCCGCCGU